AGAGUUUGAUCCUGGCUCAGGACGAACGCUGGCGGCGUGCUUAACACAUGCAAGUCGAACGGUGAACCUGCUUCGGUGGGGGAUCAGUGGCGAACGGGUGAGUAACACGUGGGCAACCUGCCCCUCAGCUCUGGGAUAACUCCAAGAAAUUGGGGCUAAUACCGGAUAUGACCGCUGACCGCAUGGUCUGGUGGUGGAAAGAUUUAUCGGCUGGGGAUGGGCCCGCGGCCUAUCAGCUUGUUGGUGGGGUAGUGGCCUACCAAGGCGACGACGGGUAGCCGGCCUGAGAGGGUGACCGGCCACACUGGGACUGAGACACGGCCCAGACUCCUACGGGAGGCAGCAGUGGGGAAUAUUGCGCAAUGGGCGAAAGCCUGACGCAGCGACGCCGCGUGGGGGAUGACGGCCUUCGGGUUGUAAACCUCUUUCAGCAGGGACGAAGCGGAAGUGACGGUACCUGCAGAAGAAGCACCGGCCAACUACGUGCCAGCAGCCGCGGUAAUACGUAGGGUGCAAGCGUUGUCCGGAAUUAUUGGGCGUAAAGAGCUCGUAGGCGGUUCGUCGCGUCGGCUGUGAAAUCCCGAGGCUCAACCUCGGGUCUGCAGUCGAUACGGGCGGACUUGAGUUCGGCAGGGGAGACUGGAAUUCCUGGUGUAGCGGUGAAAUGCGCGAUAUCAGGAGGAACACCGGUGGCGAAGGCGGGUCUCUGGGCCGAUACUGACGCUGAGGAGGAAAGCGUGGGGAGCGAACAGGAUUAGAUACCCUAGUAGUCC
rnacentral:rRNA from 1 species